rnacentral:rRNA from 1 species
UCUGCUGGGCCAUUACUGACGCUCAUGGACGAAAGCCAGGGGAGCGAAAGGGAUUAGAUACCCCUGUAGUCCUGNCCGUAAACGAUGAACACUAGGUGUCGGGGGAAUCGACCCNUUCGGUGUCGUAGCUAACGCGUUAAGUGUUCCGCCUGGGGAGUACGCACGCAAGUGUGAAACUCAAAGGAAUUGACGGGGGCCCGCACAAGCGGUGGAGUAUGUGGUUUAAUUCGAUGCAACGCGAAGAACCUUACCAGGGUUUGACAUCCUGCGAACCUCUUAGAAAUUUGAGGGUGCCUUCGGGAAUGCAGUGACAGGUGGUGCAUGGCUGUCGUCAGCUCGUGUCGUGAGAUGUUGGGUUAAGUCCCGCAACGAGCGCAACCCACGUUUUUAGUUGCCAGCAUUUAGUUGGGCACUCUAGAAAGACCGCCGGUGAUAAACCGGAGGAAGGUGUGGAUGACGUCAAGUCAUCAUGCCCCUUACACCCUGGGCUACACACGUACUACAAUGCUACGGACAAAGGGCAGCAAACUCGCGAGAGCUAGCAAAUCCCAUAAACCGUGGCUCAGUUCAGAUCGUAGGCUGCAACUCGCCUACGUGAAGUAGGAAUCGCUAGUAAUCGCAGGUCAGCAUACUGCGGUGAAUACGUUCCCGGGCCUUGUACACACCGCCCGUCACACCAUGGAAGUUAGCCAUGCCCGAAGUCGUUACUCCAACCCUUGUGGAGGAGGACGCCGAAGGUGGGGCUAAUGACUGGGGUGAAGUCGUAACAAGGUAACC